ACAAGAUGUGAUGAUAUCAAUCCAUACAUUCUGUUAUUUGAUGAUGAAUUCAAAACAUGCACUACCAUCUGAUCUUUG